GAAAGUUCACACUGUGACGGUAGCUUACCAGAAAGGGACGGCUAACUGCGUGCCAGCAGCCGCGGUAAUACGUAGGUCCCGAGCGUUGUCCGGAUUUAUUGGGCGUAAAGCGAGCGCAGGCGGUUUGAUAAGUCUGAAGUUAAGGGCUGUGGCUCAACCAUAGUUCGCUUUGGAAACUGUCAAACUUGAGUGCAGAAGGGGAGAGUGGAAUUCCAUGUGUAGCGGUGAAAUGCGUAGAUAUAUGGAGGAACACCGGUGGCGAAAGCGGCUCUCUGGUCUGUAACUGACGCUGAGGCUCGAAAGCGUGGGGAGCGAACAGGAUUAGAUACCCUGGUAGUCCACGCCGUAAACGAUGAGUGCUAGGUGUUGGAUCCUUUCCGGGAUUCAGUGCCGCAGCUAACGCAUUAAGCACUCCGCCUGGGGAGUACGACCGCAAGGUUGAAACUCAAAGGAAUUGACGGGGGCCCGCACAAGCGGUGGAGCAUGUGGUUUAAUUCGAAGCAACGCGAAGAACCUUACCAGGUCUCGACAUCCCGAUGCUAUUUCUAGAGAUAGGAAGUUACUUCGGUACAUCGGUGACAGGUGGUGCAUGGUUGUCGUCAGCUCGUGUCGUGAGAUGUAGGGUUAAGUCCCGCAACGAGCGCAACCCCUAUUGUUAGUUGCCAUCAUUCAGUUGGGCACUCUAGCGAGACUGCCGGUAAUAAACCGGAGGAAGGUGGGGAUGACGUCAAAUCAUCAUGCCCCUUAUGACCUGGGCUACACACGUGCUACAAUGGUUGGUACAACGAGUUGCGAGUCGGUGACGGCGAGCUAAUCUCUUAAAGCCAAUCUCAGUUCGGAUUGUAGGCUGCAACUCGCCUACAUGAAGUCGGAAUCGCUAGUAAUCGCGGAUCAGCACGCCGCGGUGAAUACGUUCCCGGGCCUUGUACACACCGCCCGUCACACCACGAGAGUUUGUAACACCCGAAGUCGGUGAGGUAACC
rnacentral:rRNA from 1 species